rnacentral:rRNA from 1 species
GAUGAACGCUGGCGGCGUGCCUAAUACAUGCAAGUCGAGCGAAGCGGGGACGGGUGAGUAACACGUGGAUAACCUCCUAUAAGACUGGGAUAACUUCGGGAAACCGGAGCUAAACCGGAUACUUAUCAGUGGAUCCGCGCUGCAUUAGCUAGUUGGUAAGGUAAUGGCUCACCUAGGCGACGAUCCCUAGCUGGUCUGAGAGGAUGACCAGCCACACUGGAACUGAGACACGGUCCAGAUUCCUACGGGAGGCAGCAGUAGGGAAUCUUCCGCAAUGGGCGAAAGCCUGACGGAGCAACGCCGCGUGAGUGAUGAAGGUCUUCGGAUCGUAAAACUCUGUUAUUAGGGAAGCGGUACCUAAUCAGAAAGCCACGGCUAACUACGUGCCAGCAGCCGCGGUAAUUC